UGAGGAAUAUUGGGCAAUGCCCGAAAGGGUGACCCAGCAACGCCGCGUGGAGGAUGAAGGUCGUAAGAUUGUAAACUCCUGUUAGAGGGGAAGAAUAACUAAGUUUGGAGCUUAGUAUGACUGUACCCUCAGAGAAAGCCCCGGCUAACUACGUGCCAGCAGCCGCGGUAAUACGUAGGGGGCAAGCGUUGUCCGGAUUUACUGGGUGUAAAGGGCGCGCAGGCGGAAUGGAAAGUCAGUGGUGAAAUCCUACAGCUUAACUGUAGAACUGCCUUUGAUACUGUCAUUCUUGAGUUCGGGAGAGAGAGACGGAAUUCCAGGUGUAGUGGUGAAAUACGUAGAUAUCUGGAAGAACACCAGUUGCGAAGGCGGUCUCUUGGUCCGACACUGACGCUGAGGCGCGAAAGCGUGGGGAGCAAACA
rnacentral:rRNA from 1 species